AGGGCGCUUCUUCCCACGCCGUGGAGAAAGGCAUGGAGGCUGCCUUUGCGAGGGCUCCUGGCACACGUGCAGCUGUGUGAACUGCAGCAACGUGAGGCUGUCCUUCUGAACGGCACGAUGAGGAAACUGAAGCCUGAGAAAAUUCUAUUAUUGCCCAGGAGGUGCUCACUGGUUUGACCUAAAGAAAGAUAAGACUUGUAGAGAAUAUGACAAUUCUUAACACAUGGUAAGUGCUCAAUAAAUGCUAGUUGUUUUGUUGAUGAUGUUGCUUUUGUUAAGCAUCAGUAUCUCUAUGGAAGACAAUGGAAAACUGAGAUUGCCCCAUGCAGCGAUUAGCCUCAUGAAGCUCAUGGAAAGCUUCUGUUCUGCAAGAGGGCUUUUAACGUGUGUUGUAACUGUGGUCUGUAUGGGUGGGGGUCUAACUCAGAAAAGGCUCCUCUGGAAGACUUGAGGCAGGCUCAUGCAUAAAGGAUUGAUGGGCUGGGAUAACAGCAAUCGGGGAGGAGUGCAUGGCAGAGAGAUGAGUGGCAGGGACAGCACUGGGGGUCGGGGAAAGGGACAUCUGCCACAGCCUAGGGAAGGCUGCAUGCAUUAGAAAGACUGCGUGUAGAUAGGGGAGAAGACUCGGCCAAUGGAGCUUUUUUGGCAUAAUAAAUAUUCAGUUGGUCACCAUGAAUAUUCAAUCAGGAAGAGAUUUGCAGAUAGGCCCUUGAAGAAGCUGGGAUUGACAGAGGGGCUGACUUCUUUUAAGAGUCUCACAAUAUCAGAAAAAAGCAGAAGUGGGGAGAAGAAGAUUGGCAAGAGUUGUUAGCUCAGGUGCCAAUCUUUGGAAAAAAAGAAUCUCCCAAUAUCGGGGGAAUGUACGCCACAGCAGAGAACUGGAUGGGAUCACAGGUGGAGGCAAAGAGCUAGAAGUUUCAAAGAAGAGAAGUGGGAGAGUGACAGCUGGCAGGAGCUGAGGGUGUGCCAGAAAGACUUGAAAAGCAUCGCUUAGUUGAACGGCCAGGGCAUACAGUGGAAUUGUGGGUCUCAUUAUUUGCAUUUGUGUGCAACUCUCUACAAUCUCUAGGGGAUAUUUUCCUCCUUGGCAGGUUCUCAUAGAAUCACAGAAAUACAGCGCUAAAGAGAAUGUUAAAGGCAGUCAGUGACUACUGCGGUGCUUAACCCUGUGCGGAGGGGUGUGGCUCCGCCAUGGUGGUGACCAAGGGUGCAGGCCGCCAUCCACCUCCCACAGUACAUCCUCAAGGUUAUUUGCUUUACUUGCUGGCUUCUGAGAAGAAUUUCACCAGAGGACAUGGCUGUGCAGCUACAAAAUAAAAUGUGUGAAAAACAACUGUCUCGUCCACACCCAUCAUUUUAUGGAUGUGGAUGCCUGGGGCCAGAGAAGAGUCUUGUCUAACUCAGAGGCAGAAUGCAGGCUGAUACUCAGUUCUGCUCACUCCCAGUCCAGUUUCUGCUCAUUUCUGUCUGUGAAGGAGGGUGUUCUUGGAGCCCCUGCCAGCUCAUUUGGUGCCUUUGGGUGAAUAAGAAAAAGGCGGACUCUUGUGGGUAGUCAUAGCCCCAGUGAGCAAAAAGGCUCCUUCUGCCAGGUGCCUCUGUGCAGAACGCAGCUUGUACAGUCCUGUGUGAUGAGAAAUUAGAGGUGCAUAUGGUGGGGUCCGGGGUGCCAUUUAUGGAUCUUUCUUCCUCCUUCCAAUCUUCUAUGUACCACUCAUGCACUUUUUUAAAAUGUGCAUCUAGUAAAUGCCUCCUGCAUGCACAGUGACACCUUCCUGACUCAUCUGGUAAAGAAUACCACUGAAAAGGGAAAGUGAUGGGUUUAAAUUUCAAAAUGCUUUUCUGACUAUGGCAAUUUUAAAUUCCUAGAAUGCGGGUAGGAGACUGGGAGAGGCUGUGAUGCUUCGAGGAGGUGAGUGAGGGUGAAGGUGUGGUUAAGACAGUGUGGCUCCAUAAUUGUCUCUCCUGUCAGCCUGCAAUCUUUCAUGCUCACUUGGAGAAAAUGGGUUAGCUGGAAGACAAAGGCAAGUUGGAGAAUAUCUUACAAUGAUGUUUAUCGUUUUGACUCCUAAGAGCUUUCUGAUGACCAGAUGGGUCUGUAGUGGUUCAUCUUUGCAGACACAAGCAGCACCCGGUGCACCGCCCUCCUGCGGAGGGAUGCACUUGAAAAUGGAGGAGUGCACACCCUUCCUGGGGUUUCUAUGGAGGCUGGGAUGUCAGGGAGAGAGAGCUCUAGGGUUGGGGGGAGAAUCAUCGCUUCUGGGCUGUUCUUGGAGCAAACUCUGAAGGGUCUGUGUUCUGUUCUCAUGAGGAACGCCAUUUGGUGUGAUGCUUACAUUUGUGCAUACACUUCCUUUCUUGCAGACUCAGUAAAUAUUUGUCAAAGGAAUGAAGAGCUCUAUUCUCCUAAGAGGGUUAAAACUCCUCCUUUCUCACAAAUUUGCUUGUGCCACUACCAUUUUUUAAGCUCCUACUUAUAUCGCGUCCACUGGGUGCCAGGCACUGUUGCAGGGGUUUUACAUGCAUUGAUGCAUUGGAUCCUAAUCCUAUGAGUGCUGUGAAGAUAAAUGAUAUGCAAACUCAUGUUCUAGUGACAGAGGCACUUCAGGCAAAGCUGUCACUUGCCUUACAUAGUACCAUUCUCCAGAGGUGUGUGCCCUGCCCCAGUCAUCUCUUGGUAAGAUGUCAGGCUCUAUCUUCCACAAACUGACAUACGCCUUCUGAAACCACUUAGUUUUCAUUUUUAUUUUUGGUGCACAUCUCAUGGCCCAUACUUUCCUGUCAUUCUAAUUAGAACUCAUUUGACUGAUCCUAAAACUACACCUUUCAAGGUAAAUAAGCCCCUGCCUCAUUCAUGAACACUAUAAUUUGGGGGCCAAUAUGGGUUUGUCUUUGCAUGGUCCCUUUUUAUGCUUAGAAUGCUCUUCACUUUUAAGAUUUCCCUCUCACCUUUUGUCAUUCCAUAUAAAAAGAGACUAAAAUUCUUAGAUGGUCCUUAUUGGGAAAUCACUCCUGUAAUUUUGUGGUUUACAUGUAGUGGACAUUUGUUUUUGCCAUCCAAUAUCUAUUCUUCCUCUUUCUGGUGACCACAUCCUUGUUUCUGUCUAGGAAAUGACAGUCUUCCCCUACUCUUAGUCUAUCUGGCUGCGGUGAAACUGUGCCCACUCCAGAUUGGGAGCAUGUUCAGAACUCAAGUUGAUCAGCAUACAGCCCUCUCCUGCCUAUAAUGAGCGGCUCAGUGUUGGGCUUAGAGCUCUAUCAAAGCUGAUGAGACACAGUGAGUGUUUUACUGGGACUUCAAGGAAAGAGAUUUUGGUUUUCUUGCAGUACAGAAAACUGCGAGGAUUGAAGGGCUUGAGCUACCAUCACCAUCUGGCUACAACCACCAUCUGGCUCAUCACAUGAUAGCCGAGAAGGAGACCAGUGUAACUAAAGACACACUAUAGAAGAUUAAAAAAAUAACUCGGGCACAUGGUAGUAUUUUUGAGGCCCUAAAUAGAGCUGUGCCUAAAGCUAGACCCAACUUUAGUCUUUCAUCUUACAUAAAACAGUAAUUUUUCACUUUCCUUAAGCCAGUUUGGGCUGAAUUCCACAUCACUUGAAACCAAAGGAGUCUUUACUAAUACAGCUGCAUCAGUGAAAGCCAUUUUCAUGCCUGAAAAUGUAGCCAUCUGAAAAGUCAAGGGAAGUGGAACAAAAGAAUGCUGGAAAUGGAAAGGAUCUUGUUAAUUAACUAGCUCCAAUCCCAUUAAUUAAAAAAUGAGGAAACUGAGAGUCAGGGAGGGGAAUUCCGUGCAUGGGUUCCCAUAGUUGCUUAGUGAUAGAAGUGGGAGCAGGUCCUAGAUUUGACACCCAGUUCUCUUUGUCACUUAUUUCCAAUUAGAUUGGAAUGGACUCUCAAUCCCAUCCAACCUACCCAGCAGUAACUACUAUCUGAAAUGUGGUUGUACUUUCCUCAAUAUUGCUUUGUACUUUAAGUACAUGAACAGUAGAUACUUCAGCGUUGAACUUUAAAUUUUAUGUCAAUAAUAUUGUACACAUCCUGCUGGAGCUUGCUUUUCUCACUCAGUACUGUGUUUUCAGGUUUAUUUAUGUUGAUAGAGGUAGAUUUCUUAGUCUUUAUCUGUGCAAAAAUAUAUUUAUUUUGUCUUAACUCCUGAAUGAUAGUUUAGCUCCUUAUAGACUCCUAAGAUGAUGAUGACGCUGUUUCAUCACAGCAUCACCUGGCACAGUUGUGUAUGUUGUGCAGUCUUCUGCCAGUUCAAAUUUGUUCCUGUGUAAGGAACCAGUCAUCAAUUUCUAUCUGCUGUAAAACGUUACCUGUGAUUUUGGAUUUUGAUUAUUUAACCUGCUUGAAAAGUCACCGUGUUUCUUGAAUGCAUGCAUUCAGGUCAUUCAUCAAUGUUGGAAAACUUUUUACCAUUAUCUAUUCAAAUACGGUUUCUCCCAUAUUCUCUGAAUAUUUUUUCUUUCUGUAACAUAUAACAUUUUAGUUAUAUGUGGGAUCUACACAUUUUAAACUAGUUAGCCUAAUUCUUCCCUUUUAUACUUUCCCUCUGCUUUUUAUUCUGUGUAAAUUUCCCUAAAUUAUUUUCCAAUCUACUAAUUCUCUCUUUGGUGGUGUUUAAUCCAUUAUUUAACCUAUCCACCGGGAUUUUUCUUUUUAAUCUCAGUUACUACUUUUUCCAUGUCUAGAAAUUGUAUUUUGUUCUUUUUCAAAGUUUCCUGUUCUUUUUUCAUAAGAGUUUAUCUUUUACUAGUAGGAUGAAUUCUUUUCUUUACAUUUUCCAUAAUUUUAAGUACACUUUUUAUAUUCUUUUUCAGAUUGCUCUGUCAAGUUCCGGAAGUCUAAUUAUCAGAUAAUUUGCCUGGCUGUAUGGUGAGCUGAUCUGUUGAGGACUAUUCCUUUUUCCUUCAGAAAUCCUGUGGUUUGCCUUUCCACUGUAUUUCUGUUUUUGCUUCUAUUCAGCACCCUAGGAGUAUCACUGUCCCUAGGAGCAUCAGAGUUCACAUGUUUUAUGAUAUAUUUUUAUGUUGAUGGUUCCCUGUACCCUCUGGCAGUAUAAAAUCAGACCUCAGACCUCUAAUAAAUGCAGUCUUGGUUUUUAUUUUUCAGGAGAAACUUUUUUACCUGACCAAAUGCAAGCAGUGAGAGAAAUACUUCCUUGUCACUGCCUUGUAAUGAUGGGUAUGUAUUUUUUUCUAGUUGUACUAAGGAUGCAGUUUUUUCAGGGUCCUGAGUCUAUGCUUUUCACUUUGCUCAGGCCUAAGGUUGGUGUCCUUUUUCUAUGUGGGAGAAAAAAAAUCCAAUGUCAUAGGUUAUUGGCAUGAAAAAAAACACUCCUUUCCAUCCUCCAAGAAUAGCUCCAAAACCAGCCCAUACAUUUACCAAUCUGGUUUUAAUUUCUUCUUUUUUUCUGGAACCAGUGAUUUCCCCUUCUUCCUUUUGAGUCCAGCCAUGCAUUUUAAUUUAUUUGUACUCUAUCAAGCAAUUUUUGAUGUCUAUAGUGAAAGAGUUUUCAGGUUAUCUUAGUGUACCUAACCCAGUUUAUUUACCUCUGCAUACCCUUGGUCAUGUUUUUCUGUUGAUGAUACUGGUGAGCCUCCAUGAAGAUCUCCUGGCCCAAAUGCUUUCUUGUAGGUGCAAAAGGAAUGUUUUCAUCUCUAUGCCCUCCUUCAUGGUGUUCCACUUGUUUCGUUGACUAGGGUCUCUCUCUGCAGUGACUGCUCUAGGUCCCUCAUGUCACUCACAGGCAUGUCUUGUGCCUUGCUGUGCAUGACUCUUGCCUCUCGUUCUUGGGAUUUCCUGUUGCUACUGAGGCAUGAGACUGUGGGGCCCUUUGAUGAAUGCAAUGACUUGCCCAGCUGGCCCAGCAAGGCUGCAGGUGGAAAGAUGGAGAGUGCUUCUGGCUCCCUUCUAUCACAGGCUCAGCCCGAGUAUGGUAGCUUGUGCCAUGGAUGCUACCUUCCUAGGUGCCAGGGGUCUGGAUUCCUAGGUGGCUACUGGAGGGCCUAGGAGAUAAACCCAGAAGUACAGGAGAGUUAUGUCACAUGGGAUACGUUUGACCAAAGAGAGAUAAGAGCUAGCACAAAAAUUCUUCUCCCUUCCUCCUCUGAGAUGGACUAUUAAAACAUGCAGUGUUUUCAGGUGGCCUUUCUGAAGACGGCCUUAGAGACUGAGCAAUCAACUGUACUUGUUAUAAAAGCUGUGAUAUAAUCCCUUAAAUUUUCUCUCCUGCUUUUCCUGACUCACUCCUGUUUUUUCCACACUCCAGUUUUCCCCCUGGAAUUGUAUUCCUUUAUAUACUGUUAACACCUAAGACUUUGCCUCAAGUCCAUUUUCUAGGGAACUCGGGAUAAGAUAUUCAUUUGCCAUCUUACUGAAUCUGUAACCCUUCUGUUUGUUUCUAAUCAGGCAACAAUGGAGGGAAGGCAAAAAGCCCUUGCAAGUAAAAGGAACCCAGUGCCCUUCUGAGGGCUGCGUGGGUCAAAAUGAGUGCUUCCAGGAACAUGCCAAUAGGAGCUGCAUCAGCACUGAGGUUUCUGACAGUCUAAUAGGGAUGCUGGUCCAAGAACUUUUUUAGCAAAGUCAAGGAUGAGGGUUAAAUGAUAUGGUGAGUAGUACAAAGUGGUUUAUCCCAACACCCUUUUUCCUGACCUGUCUUUAUUAUAGGGUCUGGUAAAGCUUACAAAAAAAGAAAGAGAAGG